rnacentral:lncRNA from 1 species
AGAUUUGCAGUGAUGGAGAGGAGCAGAGAUUUACGAAGAGAGAGAAAAAGAGAGAGAGAGAGAUGCGAUGCAAUUUUCAGAGAGGGAAGAGUGGGAAUAGGGCAGCGGUACCCCAGCGAAACCAGCGGCGGAGGCAUCGGACCUUCGCGGUCCAAGGUGGCGGUGGCAGAACAGAUCGAGAGAGAGAGAAGAUCUGCGAUGAGAGAGAGAGCAGCGGCGGCUGCAUCGGACCUUCGUUGGUACAAGGCGGCGUCCCCGCGGGUGAAGAGACGCGACACGGCUGCGCGCUCCUCCGUUCACGGCGCUCCAAUUUGGAAGGAUUGGAGGCGAGAGAGAGGGAGAAAAGAGGGGAGAGAGGGAGGCUCUGUAUCAAAAAAAGAGAAGAGAGAGAG